GAUGAACGCUGGCGGCGUGCCUAAUACAUGCAAGUUGAGCGAACAGAUAAGGAGCUUGCUCCUUUGACGUUAGCGGCGGACGGGUGAGUAACACGUGGGUAACCUACCUAUAAGACUGGGAUAACUUCGGGAAACCGGAGCUAAUACCGGAUAACAUUUGGAACCGCAUGGUUCUAAAGUGAAAGAUGGUUUUGCUAUCACUUAUAGAUGGACCCGCGCCGUAUUAGCUAGUUGGUAAGGUAACGGCUUACCAAGGCAACGAUACGUAGCCGACCUGAGAGGGUGAUCGGCCACACUGGAACUGAGACACGGUCCAGACUCCUACGGGAGGCAGCAGUAGGGAAUCUUCCGCAAUGGGCGAAAGCCUGACGGAGCAACGCCGCGUGAGUGAUGAAGGGUUUCGGAUCGUAAAACUCUGUUAUUAGGGAAGAACAAAUGUGUAAGUAACUGUGCACGUCUUGACGGUACCUAAUCAGAAAGCCACGGCUAACUACGUG
rnacentral:rRNA from 1 species